AGCGAACGCUGGCGGCAGGCCUAAUACAUGCAAGUCGAGCGGCCCUUCGGGGCAGCGGCGGACGGGUGAGUAACGCGUGGGAACGUGCCCUUUGGUACGGAACCACUGAGGGAAACUUCAGCUAAUACCGUAUGUGCCCUUCGGGGGAAAGAUUUAUCGCCAUUGGAGAGGCCCGCGUUAGAUUAGCUAGUUGGUAGGGUAAUGGCCUACCAAGGCGACGAUCUAUAGCUGGUCUGAGAGGAUGAUCAGCCACACUGGGACUGAGACACGGCCCAGACUCUUACGGGAGGCAGCAGUAGGGAAUCUCGCGCAAUGGGCGAAAGCCUGACGCAGCCAUGCCGCGUGAAUGAUGAAGGUCUUAGGAUUGUAAAGUUCUUUCGCCCGUGACGAUGAUGACGGUAACGGGAGAAGAAGCCCCGGCUAACUUCGUGCCAGCCGCCGCGGUAAAAC
rnacentral:rRNA from 1 species